GGUCUCAAUUUGGGCUAAAUAACAUGAAUAUCAUUUUUCUACUCAUUUUAUUCUAUAAUUUGAAUCACUUGCAGUUCAAAUUUGACUUAUACCAAAAAUUUCCUUGAAAUGCAAUUAAUUAAUUAAAUAUAGCAAACAAAUCCAAAAAUAUACCAAAUUUGAACAUGGAGUACCACAUGUUGUAUGUGGGGAGUAGAAAAAUUUUCAAGGUGAAAAGAGAAAAAAAUCUUAUUGUUU
rnacentral:lncRNA from 1 species